GCCAGGUGUGGUGGUGCACACCUGUAAUCCGAGCUACUUGGGAGGCUGAGACAGGAGAAUCGCUUGAGCCCAGGAGGCAGAGGUUGCAGUGAGCCAGGAUCAUGACACUGCAUCCUAGCCUGGGUGACAGAGUGAGAUUCCAUUUUAA
rnacentral:sRNA from 1 species